GACGAACGCUGGCGGCGUGCUUAACACAUGCAAGUCGAACGGAAAGGCGCUGCUCUUGUGGGGUGCUCGAGUGGCGAACGGGUGAGUAACACAUGAGGAACCUGCACCUGAAUUAGGGAUAAAUUCAGGAAACUGGGGAUAAUACCGGAUAGGAGCUACUGCUGCAUGUGGGGGGAUGGAAAGAUUCGGCGGUUGUGGAUGGAAUAGCGGCUUAUGAGCUGGAUGGUGGGGUAGUGGAGUACAAAGGCUUUGACGGGUAGCCGGCCUUGGAGGGUGACCGGCCACAAUGGGCCUGCGAUACGGCCCAGACUCCUACGGGAGGCAGCAGUGGGGAAUAUUGCACAAUGGGCGGAAGCCUGAUGCAGCAACGCCGCGUGCGGGAUGCCGUCCUUCGGGUUGUAAACCGCUUUCGCCUGUGACGAAGCGUGAGUGACGGUAAUGGGUAAAGAAGCACCGGCUAACUACGUG
rnacentral:rRNA from 1 species